rnacentral:rRNA from 1 species
AACGAACGCUGGCGGCAUGCCUAACACAUGCAAGUCGAACGAACCCUUCGGGGUUAGUGGCGCACGGGUGCGUAACACGUGGGAAUCUGCCCUUUGCUUCGGAAUAACAGUUAGAAAUGACUGCUAAUACCGGAUGAUGUCGUAAGACCAAAGAUUUAUCGGCAAAGGAUGAGCCCGCGUAGGAUUAGGUAGUUGGUGGGGUAAAGGCCUACCAAGCCGACGAUCCUUAGCUGGUCUGAGAGGAUGAUCAGCCACACUGGGACUGAGACACGGCCCAGACUCCUACGGGAGGCAGCAGUGGGGAAUAUUGGACAAUGGGCGAAAGCCUGAUCCAGCAAUGCCGCGUGAGUGAUGAAGGCCUUCGGGUUGGUAAAGCUCUUUUACCUAGGGAUGAUAAUGACAGUACCUGGAGAAUAAGCUCCGGCUAACUCCGUGCCAGCAGCCGCGGUAAU